UACGUAGGGGGCAAGCGUUGUCCGGAUUUACUGGGCGUAAAGGGCGCGUAGGCGGCCAGCACAAGUCAGUUGUGAAAUCUCCGAGCUUAACUCGGAAAGGUCAACUGAUACUGUGCGGCUAGAGUGCGGAAGGGGCAACUGGAAUUCUUGGUGUAGCGGUGAAAUGCGUAGAUAUCAAGAGGAACACCUGCGGCGAAGGCGGGUUGCUGGGCCGACACUGACGCUGAGGCGCGAAAGCCAGGGAGCGAACGGG
rnacentral:rRNA from 1 species